rnacentral:rRNA from 1 species
GACGAACGCUGGCGGCGUGCUUAACACAUGCAAGUCGAACGGAAAGGCCCUGCUUGCAGGGUACUCGAGUGGCGAACGGGUGAGUAACACGUGGGUGAUCUGCCCUGCACUUCGGGAUAAGCCUGGGAAACUGGGUCUAAUACCGGAUAGGAGCCAUUUUUAGUGUGAUGGUUGGAAAGUUUUUUCGGUGUAGGAUGAGCUCGCGGCCUAUCAGCUUGUUGGUGGGGUAAUGGCCUACCAAGGCGGCGACGGGUAGCCGGCCUGGGAGGGUGGACGGCCACAUUGAGACUGAGAUACGGCCCAGGCUCCUACGGGAGGCAGAAGUGGGGAAGAUUGAACAAUGGGCGCAGGCCUGAUGCAGCGACGCCGCGGGGGGGAUAACGGCCUUCGGGUUGUAGACUCCUUGCGCUAGGGACGAAGCUUUUUGUGACGGUACCUAGAUAAGAAGCACCGGCUAACUACGUG